AGUCGAACGGCAGCACGGACUUCGGUCUGGUGGCGAGUGGCGAACAGGUGAGUAAUGUAUCGGAACGUGCCUAUUGGCGGGGGAUAACUACGCGAAAGCGUAGCUAAUACCGCAUACGCCCUUCGGGGAAAGCGGGGGACCUUCGGGCCUCGCACUAAUGGAAGCGGCCGAUAUCGGAUUAGCUAGUUGAUGGGGUAACGGCUCUGAGCGACGAUCCAUGUAGUUUGAGAGGACGACCAGCCACACUGGGACUGAGACACGGCCCGAACUCCUACAGGAGGCAGCAGUGGGGAAUUUUGGACAAUGGGGGAAACCCUGAUCAGCCAUCCCGCGUGUGAGAUGAAGGCCUUCGGGUUGUAAAGCACUUUUGGCAGGAAAAAAACGGCACGGGAUAAUACCCCGUGCGGCUGACGACGCGCUGCAGAUAAAGCACCGGCUAACUACGUCAGCAGCCGCGGUAAUACAUGCAGGUGCAAGCGUUAAUCGAAUUACUGGGCGUAAAGCGUGCGCAGGCGGUUGGAAGAAGAUGUAAAUCCCAGAAUAACUUUGGAACACAUUUUAACUACCGAGCUAGAGUGUGUCAGAGGGAGGGUGGAAUUCGCGUGUGCUCAGUGAAAUGCGUGGUGAUAUGCGGAGGAACACCGAUGGCGAAGGCAGCCUCCUGGGAUAACACUGACGCUCAUGCACGAAAGCGUGGGGAGCAAACGGGAUUAGACACCCUGGUAGUCCACGCCCUAAACGAUGUCAACUAGCUGUUGGGGCCUUCGGGCCUUGUUGGCCAGCUUCUUUGCUGGCCUGAUUGACCGCCUGGGGAAGUACGGUCGUAAGAUUAAAACUCAAAGGAAUUGACGGGGACCCGCACAAGCGAGUGGGAUGUGGAUUAAUUCGAUGCAACGCGAAAAACCUUACCUAUGACAUGUCUGGAAUCAAAGAGAUUUAAAGGUGCUCGCAGAGAACCGAUUCCAGGUGCUGCAUGUGCCCUGUCGUCAGCUCGUGUCGUGAGAUGUUGGGUUAAGUCCCGCAACGAGCGCAACCCCUUGUCAUUAGUUGCUACGAAAGGGCACUCUAAUGAGACUGCCGGUGACAAACCGGAGGAAGGUGGGGAUGACGUCAAGUCCUCAUGGCCCUUAUGGGUAGAGACUACGUCAUACAAUGGUCGGGACAGAGGUCGCCAGCCCUCGAGGGGAGCCAAUCCCAGAAACCCGAUCGUAGUCGGAUCAGUCUGCAGCUCGACUGCACAAAGUCGGAAUCGCUAGUAAUCGCAGUUAAUGUCGCGGUGAAUACGUUCCCGGGUCUUGUACACACCGCCCGUCACACCAUAGAAGGUGUGGUUUACCAGUAGUUAGCCUAACCGUAAGGAGGGCGAUUCUACGGUAGGAUUCAUGACUGAGGUGAAGUCGUAACAAGGUAG
rnacentral:rRNA from 1 species